GGAAUAUUGGACAAUGGGCGCAAGCCUGAUCCAGCCAUGCCGCGUGAGUGAUGAAGGCCCUAGGGUUGUAAAGCUCUUUCACCGGUGAAGAUAAUGACGGUAACCGGAGAAGAAGCCCCGGCUAAAUUCGUGCCAGCAGCAGCGGUAAUACGAAGGGGGCUAGCGUUGUUCGGAAUUACUGGGCGUAAAGGGCGCGUAGGCGGAUGUUCAAGUCGGGGGUGAAAUCCCGGGGCUCAACCCCGGAACUGCCUCCGAUACUGGACGUCUGGAGGACGGAAGAGGCGAGUGGAAUGCCGAGUGUAGAGGUGAAAUUCGUAGAUAUUCGGCGGAACACCCGUGGCGAAGGCGGCUCGCUGGUCCGUUUCUGACGCUGAGGCGCGAAAGCGUGGGGAGCAAAC
rnacentral:rRNA from 1 species